UUUUCACUGCACCGUCAUGCCGCCGUUUCUCAUCUCAAACCUGGGGAUUCUAUUUGUCCUGAGAGCUGUUGGAGCCCAGUCAGUGACCCAGCAAGAUCUUCAAGCAAUGGUCUCUGAAGGAGACUCCCUGGAGCUAAAGUGCAAUUACUCGUACUCGGGUGGAACUCCCUACCUCUACUGGUAUGUUCAGUAUCCUGGGCAAGGACUCCAAUUUCUCCUUAGGAUAUUCUCACGAGAAGAUACCUUGGUUAAAGGCAUCAAAGAUUUUGAGUCUGAAUUUAAGAAGACAGAAUCUUCCUUCAACUUGAAAAAACGCAUUACUCACUGGAGAGACUCAGCCAAGUACUUCUGUGCCAUCAGUGACACAGUGCUUGAGACUGCAGGGGGAGCUGAGCACAAACGACUCUUGGAAGUGGAGUUUUCAGAGAUCCAAGAUCUCUUCCUGCUUCUGGGAUCCAAGUAUCCGCCUGACGCAGUGGACUUCAACAAGGACCCUGAGCAGUAG